rnacentral:rRNA from 1 species
GACGAACGCUGGCGGCGUGCUUAACACAUGCAAGUCGAACGGAAAGGCCCUGCUUUUGUGGGGUGCUCGAGUGGCGAACGGGUGAGUAACACGUGAGUAACCUGCCCUUGACUUUGGGAUAACUUCAGGAAACUGGGGCUAAUACCGGAUAGGUGCUCCUGCUGCAUGGUGGGGGUUGGAAAGUUUCGGCGGUUGGGGAUGGACUCGCGGCUUAUCAGCUUGUUGGUGGGGGAGUGGCUUACCAAGGCUUUGACGGGUAGCCGGCCUGGGAGGGUGGCCGGCCACAUUGGGACUGAGAUACGGCCCAGACUCCUACGGGCGGCAGCAGUGGGGAAUAUUGCACAAUGGGCGGAAGCCUGAUGCAGCAACGCCGCGUGCGGGAUGACGGCCUUCGGGUUGUAAACCGCUUUCGCCUGUGACGAAGCGUGAGUGACGGUAAUGGGUAAAGAAGCACCGGCUAACUACGUG